rnacentral:rRNA from 1 species
CAGCUAGUUGGCGGGGUAAUGGCCCACCAAGGCGAUGAUCGGUAUCCGGCCUGAGAGGGCGCACGGACACACUGGAACUGAAACACGGUCCAGACUCCUACGGGAGGCAGCAGUGGGGAAUUUUGCGCAAUGGGGGAAACCCUGAUGCAGCGACGCCGCGUGAGCGAUGAAGCCCUUCGGGGUGUAAAGCUCUUUCGGCAGGGACGAUAAUGACGGUACCUGCAGAAGCAGCUGCGGCUAACUACGUGCCAGCAGCCGCGGUAAUACGUAGGCAGCAAGCGUUGUUCGGAGUUACUGGGCGUAAAGGGUGUGUAGGCGGUUGCCUAAGUUUGGUGUGAAAUCUCCUGGCUCAACCGGGAGGGUGCGCCGAAAACUGGGUGACUAGAGUGUGGGAUGGGUAAGUGGAAUUCCUGGUGUAGCGGUGAAAUGCGUAGAUAUCAGGAGGAACACCGGUGGUGUAGACGGCUUACUGGACCAUAACUGACGCUGAGACACGAAAGCGUGGGUAGCAAACAGGAUUAGAUACCCUAGUAGUCCACGCCCUAAACGAUGCAUAUUUGGUGUGGGCCAUUCAUUUGGUCCGUGCCGGAGCUAACGCGUUAAAUAUGCCGCCUGGGGAGUACAGUCGCAAGGCUGAAACUC